GACGAAGAACGCAGCGAAAUGCGAUAAGUAAUGUGAAUUGCAGAAUUCAGUGAAUCAUCGAAUCUUUGAACGCACCUUGCGCCCUUUGGCCAUUCCGAAGGGCAUGCCUGUUUGAGUAUCAUGAACACCUCAACUCUCAUGGCUCGCCAUGAUGAGCUUGGAUUUGGGGGUCUUGCUGGCCUGUGGUCGGCUCCUCUCAAAUGGAUCAGCUUGCCAGUGUUUGGUGGCAUCACAGGUGUGAUAACUAUCUGCGCUUGUGGUUUUCCAUCAGAUAACCUUCAGUGAUGGAGGUUCGCUGGAGCUCAUAAACGUCUCCCCUAAGCGGGGACAGCCCUUUGAAUGUUUGAUCUCAAAUCAGGUAGGACUACCCGCUGAACUUAAGCAUAUCAAUAAGCGGAGGA
rnacentral:misc_RNA from 1 species